ACGGGGUGCAGCAGGCGCGAAACCUUCACACUGUGCGAAAGCGCGAUGAGGGGAUCCCAAGUGCUUGCACGUAAGUGUAAGCUGUUUCUGUGUCUAAAAAGCAUAGAGAGUAAGGGCUGGGUAAGACGGGUGCCAGCCGCCGCGGUAAUACCUGCAGCUCAAGUGGUGACCGCUAUUAUUGGGCCUAAAACGUCCGUAGCCGGUUUAGUAAAUGCCCGGGUAAAUCGUGUAGCUUAACUAUACGAAUUCCGGGUAGACUGCUAAACUUGAGACCGGGAGAGGCUAGAGGUACUUCUGGGGUAGAGGUGAAAUUCUGUAAUCCUAGGGGGACCACCAGUGGCGAAGGCGUCUAGCUAGAACGGGUCUGACGGUGAGGGACGAAGCCCUGGGGCGCAAACCGGAUUAGAUACCCGGGUAGUCCAGGGUGUAAACGCUGCUUGCUUGAUGUUAGUCGGGCUCUGAGCCCGAUUAGUGUCGGAGAGAAGUUGUUAAGCAAGCUGCCUGGGAAGUACGUCGCAAGGC
rnacentral:rRNA from 1 species